CGCGUGGGAACGUGCCCUAAGGUACGGAACAACUCCGGGAAACUGGAGCUAAUACCGUAUGUGACCGAGAGGUGAAAGAUUUAUCGCCUUGGGAUCGGCCCGCGUUAGAUUAGCUAGUUGGUGGGGUAAUGGCCUACCAAGGCGACGAUCUAUAGCUGUUCUGAGAGGAAGAUCAGCCACACUGGGACUGAGACACGGCCCAG
rnacentral:rRNA from 1 species